GACGAACGCUGGCGGCGUGCUUAACACAUGCAAGUCGAACGGAAAGGCCCUGCUUUUGUGGGGUGCUCGAGUGGCGCACGGGUGAGUAACACGUGAGUAACCUGCCCUUGACUUUGGGAUAACUUCAGGAAACUGGGGCUAAUACCGGAUAGGAGCUCCUGCUGCAUGGUGGGGGUUGGAAAGUUUCGGCGGUUGGGGAUGGACUCGCAGCUUAUCAGCUUGUUGGUGGGGUAGUGGCUUACCAAGGCUUUGACGGGUAGCCGGCCUGAGAGGGUGACCGGCCACAUGGGGACUGAGAGACGGCCCAGACGCCUACGGGAGGCAGCAGUGGGGAAUAUUGCACAAUGGGCGGAAGCCUGAUGCAGCAACGCCGCGUGCGGGAUGACGGCCUUCGGGUUGUAAACCGCUUUCGCCGGUGACGAAGCGUGAGUGACGGUAAUGGGUAAAGAAGCACCGGCUAACUACGUG
rnacentral:rRNA from 1 species